AGAUUAUAUUGACAAAGAUAGUGGUGAAAAAGGAGUUGUGAAGGGGAACUUGUUAUUCAAGACACAAGGAGCGAAUCCGGCCGAGAAAGCACCAGAGGUGUAAUUAUGGUGUAUGAGACACCAUCUUUUACGUUGCCUCUUAUUUUGGAUUAUACAAUGUAUCUUGUGCCAACUUAGGACAUAUCUUGUCUAUGGAGCAUGUAAACUCUAAUCCUUUUUAUUAAAUGCAUUUAUAUGUCCAAGAGGAUUAUGUCUGUCCCUUUUGAUUCAUGACCUAAUUUAAAUAACAUGCUAUGAGGA